rnacentral:lncRNA from 1 species
UGCACACAUCUUCUUCUCCAAGGUUUGUGUGCAGAACAUCCUGCCCAUGCUGCCCCAGCAGCUUCAGUUGGCACCUGCCUCAGUCCAGCCUCUGGGAACCAUGCAGCAGCUCCCAGCGGCCCUGCACCCACCACCAGCAUCCGUUUCACCUGCAGUUGAAGAUCCGUGAGGUGCCCAGAAGAUCAUGCAGUCAUCAGUCCCACGGAGCAGCCUGCGAGGCUGAGGCUCCUCCCACUGGACCGCCCCCCAACUGGCACCACUGCUGCCCCUGCCCCUACUCUCAGCCUCACGUGACUCUCGGGCAGAAGCACUGGUGGGGCAGCCAGGGCAGCGUCAAGAGUCUGAGCCAGCUGCAGGACAAGUUCGAGCAUCUUAAAAUGAUUCAACAGGAGGAGAUAAGGAAGCUCGAGGAAGAGAAAAAAAAACUGGAAGGAGAAAUCAUAGAUUUUUAUAAAAUGAAAGCUGCCUCUGAAGCACUGCAGACUCAGCUGAGCACCGAUACAAAGAAAGACAAACAUCCUGAUCCAUAUGAAUUCCUCUUAUUAAGAAAAAUAAAGCAUCCAGGAUUCAAUGAAGAACUGACUAUCACCUUGUUAAUCAUUCAGAAACAUGUUGCAGGCUUAAGCCAUUUUUGAUAUAGAUACUGAAACAAUUACUUGCUAAGAGCAAACUUGAAGGUAUGGAUAAGGCCCUGAGUCAUCUUCCUGAGCUGAAUGAUAGUUAAGCUGAAUUAACAAUUUGGACAAGACAGCAAAUGCUAUUGUCCAAGUUUUCUAAAGAAGAAUCUGAAGUGAAAUGACAUCAAGAGACCUAUCAAGACCUGUAUCCAGGAAAAGACCAAACCAAUGCAGACCAAACCAAUGCAGAACUCCUAUGUGCUGAUGGUGGUCUUACAUUUCCCUAAGUUUCUGCCGACUAAACUGUGCACACGUUCUCAGGACCUCCUGAAGCUGCGUCACAGGCACUAAUCAAAGAACACAACCAAGAGUUUGGCCUUUUCUUCAGCACUGGGAAUUGUGAUCCAAAGCUUUUCCCGAUGAAGCACAAAGUUGGAGAAAAAAAAACGCAAACUAAACAACCACAAUGAAACAGAACAGAGUUAAUCUGCUGUAGCUCAAGAGAGGAUGUACCUGCCCCCACCCCGCAUCCCUGGGCUCGGGUUUGCCUUGCUGACCUCUGCUGCCACCUGGUGCCACACAGAGAAACUGAGGAGAAACCACAUCAGUCUCCUUCAGCCUCAGCUUCACAUCUGUGGGUCAAGCAACCCUUUCAGAAGCUGUAUAAUGUGGGAAAGCUUUCCUCUCAGGAAAAUGCACACAUCCAACUUUGAGAAGAUGCCCUUGGGGGCGCUUCAAGGAUUCUAGAUAAUAACCCCCUUUCCCGAACAUCCAAGAACCUAAGAUUUUUUUUUUUUUGAGAAAGUCUCGCUCUCUCUCCCAGUCUGGAGUGCAGUGGCGUGAUCUUGGCUCACUGCCAGCUCCACCUCCCAGGUUCACGCCAUUCUCCUGCUUCAGCCUCCCAAGUAGCUGGGGCUACAGGCACCUGCCACCAAACCCGGCUAAUUUUUUUGUAUUUUUAGUAGAGACGGGGUUUCACCGUGUUAGCCAGGAUCGUCUUGAUCUCCUGACCUUGUGAUCCACCCGCCUCGGCCUCCCAAAUUGCUGGGAUUACAGAUGUGAGCCACCGCACCUGGUCCAAGAACCCAAGUUUUAGAUCUAGAGUGAUGUCAGCAUGACAUUGAUUUCCUGAGGCCCAGGGGCGAAGGAGCUGAGGACAGCAGAGGGGUGAAGGAACUCAGCUACAGACAGCAGCAGCUGAUGCACAGGCCUCCCAGCGCCUGAAGUCACCCGGAAUUGGGAAGUGCUCAGAAGCUUACAAAGCUGCCUCGAGGUGGGAACAUGACAUAAAUCCAAGAGCAGAUCCCUGAUCCUAUAAAAAUGUACUAGAUGCAGUGGGGGCAUUUUAAAUGAGCAGAGAAGGACAGACAGAUAAACAGAAGGACAAACAGUAUUGGGAUUGGGAUAAAUGCUCAGCUUUUGCCCAAAUCUUAGUGACUUAAGCAUCACUUAUUUGCUCACGAUUCUGUGGCUGGACCAUUUGGUUUGGCUCACAGGGCAGGGACUGUGCUGGUCUUACCUGAGCAGACCUGCAUGUCUGCGGUCAACUGGGUUGGCAGAGACAGAGUGACUGUCUUCCUCCAGGAAGCAGCAGGUUAACUGGUUGGCAGAGACAGAGGGACAGAGGGACUGUCUUCCUCCAGGAAGCAGCAGGUUAACUGGUUGGCAGAGACAGAGGGACAGAGGGACUGUCUUCCUCCAGGAAGCAGCAGGUUGGCUCUGUUUCCUUCGUGGGGCAGCUGGUCUCCAGGGCAGCAAGAGAGACCAAGCCCCAGUGCACAUUCUACAGCCUCUGUGCACAUCAGACUUGUUAAUAUCCCAUUGGCCAGUGUAAGUCACUUGGCCAAGCCCAGAUUAAGGAGUGGAAAGAUGGAGGCUAUCUCCUCCUGGGAGAGGAGGCAAAGGAGGUGGGAGUAUUAUGUGGCCACUUAUGUUUGCAAUCUACCAUACUUAGCACUUUGAGAAAAGAAUUAACUGAGAAACUUGCUUCAAAUAGGGCCAGUAAAAUGAAGCCCCAAUUGAAGUAAAAUGCAUAUAUAAAAAAUGAAACUGUGACCGAUUUUAAGGACAGUAUUGGCAAAUAUUUCUGUGCUCUUGGAGGAGAAGACCCUUAUUGGCAUGACAUGUCAGAAACCACAAUGAAAGAAUUAUUUUAACUUGCAUUCAUAAAAAUUAAAAUUAUUCAUUAAAAACAUCGUGAAUGAAAUUAAAAGUCAAAAUGUAAGCCAGAAAAUUAUUUACAACGUAUGUGUCAGGAAAAGACAAUACCCUUCAAACUUUGAGAGUUUACAUCAGAAAGAAAACAGCAAAUGACAUGAUCCAAACUUGAUAAAGGACAUGAAAAAGAGCCAGCACUUAGUAUGUUUUCUGAAUGAAUAAGUAGCCAACAGCACAUGAAAAUGCGUGUAAUCCAUUUGUAAGCAGAGAAAUGCAAACUAAAACAGUAAAGUGUCAUUUUCACUUCCUGG